rnacentral:lncRNA from 1 species
UUGAAAGGUUUUAAUUAGUAUACUGUUAGAUGCAGCACAGAUCUAAAAUGAUGUCUAGUCGUUUUUCAUAUAAUUUGAUCAAGACCUUUUUGUUUUGGAUAAAAUGCAAUGAAGACUGUGUGGGGAAAACAGCCAAAGUAUUUUAGAAAUCUUAUGGGGCCUCCAUUCCGACUAAGUACUAAACUAAAUCAGAAUUUCCAACUAUCAUUCCUCGUGUAUUAGGAAGAAAAAGAUCUAAAACAUUUAUCAAACCUUUAAAAUACGAAGAGAAAUGGAAAAAGUAACAAUUGCUUCACCCCAGGAUUUUAAGAGACUGGAUUCCAUGUGUAGAUUGUUUCUAAAAGUAAAUCCUAUCCCCUCAAAAGAUACCAUAAAAUAAACUAUUUUAAAAUACC